rnacentral:rRNA from 1 species
GCCCUUAAAAUAAUUAAAGGUGUGACCUGCCCAAUGAUUGUAAAAUAAAAAAUUUUAAAUAAAUUUUACUACAAUUUAAAGGACGCGGUAUCUUGACCGUGGUAAUGUAGCAUAAUCACUCGCCACUUAAUUGGUGGAUAGUAUGAAUGGUUGAACGAAUAUAACACUGUCUCAAGUAAAGGUUUUAUAAAAUUGGAUUAAUAGUAAAGAUACUAUUUUAAAUUAUAAGACGAAAAGACCCUAUAGAGCUUAACUAUAAUCUUUUUUAAAACUAUAAAUUUAUUUAUAAAAAUAAAAAGACUGGUAGUUUAGUUGGGGCGACUAUCUUCUAUAUAAAACGAAGAUAAACAAUAUUAAUAAAAUAAUUUAUUGUAUAAUAAAUAAAUUUAACAAUUACUAAUGUAGGUAAUAAUGACCCGUUUUCAUCUUAGAAAAGAAAAAACGAUCAAUUGAUAAAAGCUACCUUAGGGAUAACAGGAUAAUUUUAUCUUAGAGAUCUUAUCGAAGAUAAAGUUUGUCACCUCUAUGUUGAAUUAAGAUAUCCUAGUAAUGCAGCAGUUACUAAAGGUAGGUCUGUUCGACCUUUAAAAUCUU